GUCAGUAAAUGUACAGAAGAGGAAAGAGUACAGUUUUUUUUAUAUAUAUUUAUUUUUUGUUGUAGUUGGACGCAAUAUCUUUAUUUUACUUAUUUACUUUUAUGUGGUGCUGAGGAUCGAACCCAGGGCCUCACCCAUGCUAGGAGAGUGCUGUACCUCUGAGCCACAACCCCAGCCCCAAGAGUACAGUUUUUGCUGGAUGGCUGGAUGGUGAAAGAAACAAGCUACUGGGAAAAGUGAGCCUGAAGAGCUGGGUGCAGUGUUGCACACCUGUAAUCUCAGCGGCUCUGGAGGCUGAAAUAGGAGGGUCUCGUUCAAAGCCAGCCUCAGCAAAAGUGAGACACUAAGCAACUCAGUGAGACUCUUGUAUCUAAACAAAAAUACAAAAUAGGGCUGAGGUUGUGGCUCAGUGGUUGAGUGCCCCUGAGUUCAAUCACCGGCGAUGUGCCCACCGCAUCCCCCCUGACCCCCCCCCCCCAAAAGGUGAUCCUGAAGAUAGAGAAAGGUAGGGCUAACAAACAGAGCAGGUUGCAGAGAAGGGAAAGGGAUUGUGGUCCAGGGCAGCAGUAGAUGGCUUUUUGAGUCUUGGAGAGGGAGAGUGAGGCCCCCCUCCCUCCAGGUCAGGAGGUCAAAGGAGUGUGCAUCUGCCAAUAUAGAAGGAUGCAGAGGCUGGGUGGAAAGCUGAAGGAUGGUGGUAAAGGUUUGGAAAGUUUUAGUCUGGGGAUGGACCAGAGAAGGAAGCUAGGGUUUAUGAGGUAGAUUGCUGAACUACAUCUAGUGGCCAGCUGGCAUCAGGAGUUUUAAUUAAGUUUAUAAGUUAAGAUUCUAUUUAGUAUGAAAAUACUACUUUUAAAUACCUCUGCCAGAUAAGACUAGCAACCUGGGGCUAAGGUAGAGGAAACAAAAUUGGAUUCAUCCCGGUCAAUUUAGGAAGGAAAGAUGAUCUGGUGAAAUGCUGAAAAGGAGAAAG
rnacentral:lncRNA from 1 species